AGGCAGUGUGCCUGCAAGCUCCAGACUGGCGGGCCAAGUGCCUUGGGGGCCAGGCUGGCGGCCUGUCCUUCCGCGGUCAUUUCGGGAGCUCCGGCUCAGCCUGUGACCCCGGGCUAGGGACGAGUCUGCUCGGUGAGAAAGGACGGUGUAGUCAAGAAGCUGCAGGGACUUGGAGAGAUGGAAAGGGUGCCCGUGACAAAUGAAGAGAAAACAAUGUCUGCCAACCUAAAAUAUCUUUCCUUGGGAAUUUUGGUGUUUCAGACUACCAGUCUGGUUCUAACGAUGCGGUAUUCUAGGACUUUAAAAGAGGAGGGGCCUCGUUAUCUGUCUUCUACAGCAGUGGUUGUGGCUGAAUUUUUGAAGAUAAUGGCCUGCAUCUUUUUAGUCUACAAAGACAGUAAGUGUAGUGUGAGAGCACUGAAUAGAGUACUGCAUGAUGAAAUUCUUAAUAAGCCCAUGGAAACCCUGAAGCUCGCUAUCCCGUCAGGGAUAUAUACUCUUCAGAACAACUUACUCUAUGUGGCACUGUCAAACCUAGAUGCAGCCACUUACCAGGUUACAUAUCAGUUGAAAAUACUUACAACAGCAUUAUUUUCUGUGUCUAUGCUUGGUAAAAAAUUAGGUGUGUACCAGUGGCUCUCCCUAGUAAUUCUGAUGGCAGGAGUUGCUUUUGUACAGUGGCCUUCAGAUUCUCAAGAGCUGAACUCUAAGGACCUUUCAACAGGCUCACAGUUUGUAGGCCUCAUGGCAGUUCUCACAGCCUGUUUUUCAAGUGGCUUUGCUGGAGUUUAUUUUGAGAAAAUCUUAAAAGAAACAAAACAGUCAGUAUGGAUAAGGAACAUUCAACUUGGUUUCUUUGGAAGUAUAUUUGGAUUAAUGGGUGUAUACGUUUAUGAUGGAGAAUUGGUCUCAAAGAAUGGAUUUUUUCAGGGAUAUAAUCAACUGACGUGGAUAGUUGUUGCUCUGCAGUGCCUACAGAGAUCAGAAGAAACAUCAAAACCCUUGGAACUGGAGUUUCAGAUGGUUGUGAGCUGCCUAACGUGGGUGCUGGGAACUAAACCCAGGUCUUCUGCAAGAGCAGCAAGCACCCUUAACCACUGAGCAAUCUCUCCAGCUUCCCCAUCUCCUAUUUGCACUUGGAGGCCUUGUAAUAGCUGCUGUCAUCAAAUAUGCAGAUAACAUUUUAAAAGGAUUUGCGACCUCCUUAUCCAUAAUAUUGUCAACAAUAAUAUCUUAUUUUUGGUUGCAAGAUUUUGUGCCAACCAGUGUCUUUUUCCUUGGAGCCAUCCUUGUAAUAGCAGCUACUUUCUUGUACGGUUACGAUCCCAAACCUGCAGGAAAUCCCACUAAAGCAUAGUCAUGUCCUGUCCUUAACUGGAUUCUCACAGUGGUGCCCUAGGAACCUCAACAUUAAUCUUGCACAGAGGACUUCUGCAGAUUCUAUGAAGAAAUCAUCAGGCUAAAUCUGAUCGUUCUGUUCAAAUGGUUUGAAAACGUGUAGCCUUCAGGAUGAAGUGUGUCCGUCAUCUGCAACCCAAGCUUGGAAGAGUGUCCAGGAAGUAGGCUUAGAGGGGAUACUGGGAGGAGGCCUUACGUCUGAGCUCCUAGUGACUUCAGCCUUUUAGUUGCUGUAGCACUGUCCAGUGCAGCCUUUGCAAGAGCACACACAUGCAAAGAAAGAGCAAGGUUUGCAAGGUAGAUCUGCCUACACUUAUCCCAUGUUCUUAACCUUACCCUUUCUGUACAGAUGUAUCAAGCUACAUGAUCUAUUUAAAUGGAAAUUUAUAAUUGCCUAUCAAGCUGUGAACAAACAAAUAUAAUUUAAAACCAUUUUCAUGUAUCCAGGGUUUUAUAUCUAUACAGAGGAUUCCUAAGGAAAGGAUUGACAAGUUUUACUUGUUUAAUUCCAUACGAUUUGAUUAAGUGAUCUGGGUUUGAAUCAUAUUUAAAUUUAGUGUAGAAUCAAUCUCUCUCUCUGUCUCUCUCUGUCUCUCUCUGUCUGUGUGUGUGUGUAUGUGUGUCUGACCAUUUACUGCUUUGAGGCAGCUGAAUGCAGUUUGGUUCUUCCCGUGCUAGAGUGGCAGAGACUGGCCCUAGUGGAGCUUACUCAUCAUUUCCCAGGUCUGUCUCUUUUCUCAUUAUUCUCAUCAUUACAUUAAAUUGAAUUUGUGUGUCCUGCCAUUAAAAAUUUUAAGUGAAUUUAAAGGGAUUAAGUACUCAUUUAAUAAUUGAAAAUAAAAUAAUGAUUACUGUCUAGGCUCCAUUUUGAGAAAUCUAAACUAUGAAGCAUAUAUUGAAUGUAGUUUUGAAAUGGAGAAUUUUCUUGUUAAUCUGCAGUAGCAAUUUCUUUUAAUCUUUGACAGAAACAACAAUCAAAAGAGUGUUAGUUCUCUCAGUGGACCAUGAUUAAACUGAUUUCCUUACAGACAUUCCCUACUGCCAUAUGCUACUUUCUUUUUUCUUUUUCUUAAAGCAUAUUGUAACUUGUUUUUUUGUUUUUCUUAAGGCAGAUUUUCAUUAUGUAGACCCAACUGGCCUUGAACUCACAAAUAUCUAUCUGGCAGCCUCUGCCUGGUGAGUGAUGGGAUUAAAGGUGUGGGCCACUCUGCCCACCUCACUACAUUGUUUUAAGGGAGUUGCAUUAUAUUUUAAGUUCUAAGGCUAUUUAGAAGUUUUUAUGUCUUAAAGCCCACUCUCCCCACCUGAUCAUGUGUCUGGCAGAUGUGACUGCCUUCAGGGUUUCCUCUCUGGUGUUCCUGUGAGUCCUUCUGGGAAGGAGCAACCAUUUGCUUUAGAAUAGUAGAUUUUCUUUCUUUUUAACACUGGAGUUGAGGAUACAAAUUAUGAGUUAUUUAAUAAUAAAUUCAAAGGAGAGAGAAUAUAUUAGAAAUAGUAAAGUAAACCGGGAGGCAAAAAUACGUUCUAUAUUUGGAAUAUAAGUUAUUUAAUUAUUGUCCAUAUGCAGAAUUACCUAUUGAAGAUCUAUUUUAUUCUUUCAUUUAUAUUGUAUAUAUUUUAAAACUUUGUUCAAAUAGAUACAAACCUGUAAAAAGGUAAUUAUUUUUUAUGUAGUUCUAAUAGAUUUUGUUAAAUGGAAUUUGACUCAAAAGCACUGUUGUUAAGAACUGUAAGGUUCCCUUGGCAACCUUGGAUUGGCUAUUUGAUCUUAUCAGAGCAAAUGUACUUUCAACAGUGGACAUGACUAACCAAUUCCAUUCAGAGUUUCAAAGUACUUAAAAUGAUAGAAUAUUUAACAUCAUUGCACCGAUGAGGAUAAAGUGAUAGCAGGCUUUCUGAAUGCCUGGUUUAUGGUUUUCAGUGACUGCCUUUUAGAGCUUGACUAUUUUGAGCAUGGUGUGAGGCCACCACAGCAUUCAAGCAUAUGUCCUAGGACCUAUAACCAAGUACAACCCAGAUCCUGCAAAUGCACAAAGUUCAAGAGGACAGAUUCAUGGUCUGCUCAUAUUAAAGCAUUGUGUGGGCAAGUGUGUUAAUACAGUGUGGAUUCAAAAUGAUUGGUUAUUUAGAUAUGGUCUACCCUGUCUUAACCCUACAGAAAUAUAGACAAAGAAGCAGUUGGAUAGUAAGGUUGUUCAAGUUAUAAUACAUUUUAGGUGUCUGAAAAUCUUUUAUGCAUCAUUUAUAUUUUUCCUUUCUAGUCAGUUAAAAAGUAAUUGGGCUGAAUGUAUAGUCUAAAAAUUUAUAAGGAAAUAAUAAUAUGUGGGGGAAAUGGGCUUGUAACCUAGAUUGUGUCAUAUAUAUUGAUGCUGAAAUUUUGUGUAAUGUGGUUUGUGUUUUGAUGACAUUCAAAGGUGUUAUUGUGUCAUGCUUCCAUAACUCUUCGAUUAUUUAAAAGUUAUGCUUUUAAAGGUGUACUUGUUAUUUCUCAGCUACUUUCACUAAAGGCACGUGUGAGUUCAUGGAGAAGAAGCCUGCCAGCUGAGAGCUGUAGUAAGGUUAGGUACAGCACACUGGGAGAAAGCUUCAUGUCCCGGGCAGGCCCUUAGUGCAGCAACAGCAGCUCCUUACUGGACGCUUUUCAGGUUGUAAGUUACCUGUGCAGUAGAGCAUAGAGGUUGGAGGUUCAGAACUGACAUGUUUACAUCAGUUUCUAUGGAAUGACACAGAAGUUCAUAUGAGAAAAAGGCAGCUUGAUAUUUAAACCACAGUCUAUAUUAAGAAAUUCCAAAAAGAAAUUAGUCGACAUCCUGCUCUGAACCAUAAAAUAGAAUACUGUUCUUACAAAUCCGGUUACUAGACUUUAAAAAUGUCAUUAUACUGUCAUUCAAUGAAGUGUUUUUGUUUCCUUGUCUUUUUGAGGCAGCAUCUUAACUGUGCCACCCUGGCUGCCUGGGGUUUACUGUGUAGACCAGGCUGGCCUGGAAAUCACGGAGAUCCGCCUGCCUCUGCCUUCAGAGUGCUGGGAUUAAAGGUGUAGGCCACCACCCCCAUUUGAGUUUUGUUUUGUUUUACUUAGUUUUUAAAGAAAGGCUUUAGUGUCACUCAUUCUAUUUAAACAUUCAUUGUAGAAUAUUUUAUUACUAUAUAUUUUUACCCGGGAUUUAUAAAAAGUAAUUAUGUUAUACUGAAAGUCAUCUCAAGGAUCUCCAGGAUAAUUAAAGUAAUCGAAUAGGGCCAAUGAAAAUGCACCUUUAUCACAGUCUGGUCCUAUGUGCCUUGCCUUACCAAAUAAAUACCUGACUUUUAUGGAGAAUAUACUGUAAUUUACAACUGUAGACACAUACUUGAAAGUGGGAUUUUUUUUCAAGAAUAACUAUAAUUCUAGCUUUUGGUUGUUUCAACAUUUUCCCUUUAAAUCUAUUGUCAAACCACCUGAUACUGAGUAUCCUAUUAAAGUAUCUAAGUAUCCUAUUAAAGUAUCUAUGAGCAGCACUUGCCUAAGUGAGUUGUGAUAUCUGCACCAUGAUUCAGGUUUGAUACUUUACCAUUUGUAUAUAAUUGUUUGUUUGUUGUUGUUUUUUUUUCUUGUAAGACAUGAUUUGUUGUGAUUUAAAACAAUAUUUUUAAAUGAUUUUGACCCUAAAUUGAUAUAUGUCUGUAUUUCAUUUAUAUAGUUAUUUUUUGAGAUUUGGGAAUAUGAUUUGUUGUAUGUUUAAAUUUUUAUGGAUAUAUAAUUCAAAGGAAUGUAUAAACUGUCUUUUAUUAAGUGGAUUUUUAGAUGAUAAAUUUCUCAUGUCAAUUUUUGGUACCAUUAUUAUCUAUAUUUAAUAGAUAAGAGAAAUAGAUAAUUUCAUAAAUAACUACAUAUAGUUUUCUAUAUUUCCAUUUUCUAUUUUUACCUGUGUCUGAUUUAAUCUGGGGAUUGGUUGCUUAUUUUUAUAUUUUAGGAAUGAGUUGCUUAUCUUCAUCUCUUGGAAACUUUUUAUCACAAGUAAUUUGCUUUGUUUUAGCCAGAAACUAGCUUUUAUUUCAAGUGGUUAGAAUUUCUCUGCCUAUAUAAUAAUCACAGCCGAAAAGUAUUUUGUUUGAAAUAAAAUACUUCUUUGCUGCUGGCA